rnacentral:rRNA from 1 species
UUGCUCCUUUGACGUUAGCGGCGGACGGGUGAGUAACACGUGGGCAACCUACCUUAUAGUUUGGGAUAACUCCGGGAAACCGGGGCUAAUACCGAAUAAUCUGUUUCACCUCAUGGUGAAAUAUUGAAAGACGGUUUCGGCUGUCGCUAUAGGAUGGGCCCGCGGCGCAUUAGCUAGUUGGUGAGGUAACGGCUCACCAAGGCGACGAUGCGUAGCCGACCUGAGAGGGUGAUCGGCCACACUGGGACUGAGACACGGCCCAGACUCCUACGGGAGGCAGCAGUAGGGAAUCUUCCACAAUGGGCGAAAGCCUGAUGGAGCAACGCCGCGUGAGUGAAGAAGGAUUUCGGUUCGUAAAACUCUGUUGUAAGGGAAGAACAAGUACAGUAGUAACUGGCUGUACCUUGACGGUACCUUAUUAGAAAGCCACGGCUAACUACGUGCCAGCAGCCGCGGUAAUACGUAGGUGGCAAGCGUUGUCCGGAAUUAUUGGGCGUAAAGCGCGCGCAGGUGGUUUCUUAAGUCUGAUGUGAAAGCCCACGGCUCAACCGUGGAGGGUCAUUGGAAACUGGGAGACUUGAGUGCAGAAGAGGAUAGUGGAAUUCCAAGUGUAGCGGUGAAAUGCGUAGAGAUUUGGAGGAACACCAGUGGCGAAGGCGACUAUCUGGUCUGUAACUGACACUGAGGCGCGAAAGCGUGGGGAGCAAACA